rnacentral:rRNA from 1 species
GACGAACGCUGGCGGCGUGCUUAACACAUGCAAGUCGAACGAUGAAGCUGGAGCUUGCUCCGGUGGAUUAGUGGCGAACGGGUGAGUAACACGUGAGCAAUCUGCCCUUCACUCUGGGAUAACUGCGGGAAACUGUAGCUAAUACCGGAUACGAGACCUUGGGGCAUCCCAGGGUCUGGAAAGAAUUUCGGUGAAGGAUGAGCUCGCGGCCUAUCAGCUAGUUGGUGAGGUAAUGGCUCAACAAGGCGACGACGGGUAGCCGGACUGAGAGGGUGACCGGCCACACUGGGACGGGGACACGGCCCAGACUCCUACGGGAGGCAGCAGUGGGGAAUAUUGCACAAUGGGCGAAAGCCUGAUGCAGCAACGCCGCGUGAGGGAUGAAGGCCUUCGGGUUGUAAACCUCUUUUAGUAGGGAAGAAGCGCAAGUGACGGCACCUACAGAAAAAGCACCGGCUAACUACGUGCCAGCCGCCGCCGUAA